UUGUUUCCUGUUGUUUCUACAUGCCAGAACUUCGGUGAGGUUUCACCACCUUCUUGUGUAAACUAUAUUGGGGCGGGUUACGCUCAAUCCCUACCCCUAUAGUAGCGAAGUCACGCGCCUUCCGGUAGAGCGAGAUCGACCGAUAAAAAAUAUGAAUAGGUUUCAAUGGAGAGAAGGUUUCCCAAAGCCAGAGCGAUGAGGAUAAAGUGGGAAAUUGCCCUAAGAAGGGAUGGUUUUGCUGCCUCUGACAGGACACUGCUCUGCAGUGACCACUUCAGGAUUGCCUUAUUAGGUCCUCCACAGUCGCCCCAUCAGUCCCUGG